UUAAUUCCCUUUGUAAUCUGUUCCUUAGGAUCACGGUUCAAGUAGUUUGCAGCUAUUUCACUCUUCCUUUAUAUGCACUUGUUAAUUUAUUACUGGAACUGAUACUUUUUUAGUUUUGAGGCGAUUACCCAGUGUGUAGCUAAAGGAUGAUUAUAUUUGGAUGCAGAUGGGUUCAGAACUCAAGGGUCCUUUAGUGGACGAUCCAGUAGCCAAAAUAAUGGAGCAAUGGCGGGCUGAUGUGAGGGAGAAAAGGAAGAAACAACAACUCGUAAAAUGUCCUAAUAACAAAGCUUCUUUGCCAAUAGAAUUGAGCUUCAGAAAGGGCCGCAAUAUUCCCUUCCAUGGAUGUACCUCUCCUUACAUGCAGUGAAAGAAUGUAUUUAUAUCCAACACAGGCGAAAUCAAUGAGGAACAAGACGACGAAAUUGUACAAGUAGUAGAAGCAAGUUAGGUCCUCUUUUGCUCCAUCAUAGUUAGCCUUUUAUCAUUACAAAGGCCGAUAGGGUUGAUAGAAAGCAUGUAUGAAAUAAUAUACCGCUGGCAAGAGAGAGAUCACUGGUUUAUCUAAAAAAAUUUUUACACCCUAGUCUGAAAUAUAUGACUCAGACAAGAUGCGAUUAUAAUGUUGCUUUCAUAUAGUUGUAUGAAUUAAUUGAGUUCAAUUUCGAUAAAUUUAUAUUUGAAAUUUGAAAUUGAUGCAUUUCAAUAAUAAAAAC
rnacentral:lncRNA from 1 species